rnacentral:rRNA from 1 species
UACCCGCAGCACAAGUGGUGGUCAUUAUUAUUGGGCCUAAAGCAUCCGUAGCCGGUACUGCAAGUCUUCCGUUAAAUCCACCUGCUCAACAGUUGGGCUGCGGAGGAUACUACAGCGCUAGGAGGCGGGAGAGGCAAGCGGUACUCAUUGGGUAGGGGUAAAAUCCACUGAUCCAUUGAAGACCACCAGUGGCGAAGGCGGCUUGCCAGAACGCGCUCGACGGUGAGGGAUGAAAGCUGGGGGAGCAAACCGG